CUCCCGGUAGCCAAGUUGGUUUAAGGCGCAAGACUGUAAGUUAUUCAGGAAAUCUUGAGAUCGGGCGUUCGAUUCGCCCCUGGGAGA
rnacentral:tRNA from 1 species